GGCCUGAUGGUCUAGUCGUAUGAUUCAUGCUUAGGGCUUUGCGAGAGUUUCAAACUCUGCUGCCAUGCGUGAGGUCCCGGGUUCAAUUCCCGGUUAGGCCC
rnacentral:tRNA from 1 species